rnacentral:rRNA from 1 species
CCAAUAGCGUAUAUUAAAGUUGUUGCAGUUAAAAAGCUCGUAGUUGAAUUUCGGGGUUAGUAGGUUGGUCAUGCCUCUGGUAUGUACUGGUCUCACUGAUUCCUCCUUCCUGAUGAACCUUAAUGCCAUUAAUUUGGUGUUUUGGGGAAUUUGGACUGUUACUUUGAAAAAAUUAGAGUGUUUAAAGCAAGCUAACGCUUGAAUACAUUAGCAGGGAAUAAUGAAAUAGGACGUUCGAUCCUAUUUUGUUGGUUUCUAGGAUUGACGUAAUGAUUAAUAGGGAUAGUUGGGGGCAUUAGUAUUCAAUUGUCAGAGGUGAAAUUCUUGGAUUUAUUGAAGACUAACUACUGCGAAAGCAUUUGCCAAGGAUGUUUUCAUUAAUCAAGAACGAAAGUUAGGGGAUCGAAGACGAUCAGAUACCGUCGUAGUCUUAACCAUAAACUAUGCCGACUAGGGAUCGGAUGAUGUUAAUUUUUUAAUGACUCAUUCGGCGCCUUACG